CAUUUCGUUAUAAAUCAUCUCCCAGAAUGUCUUAAUCCUUGGGCAUGUCCACCAAAGGUGAAAGAAUGUGCCUUCAGUCUCGUUACAUUUCCAACAUUUAUUAUCGGGCAAAUGGUAGAUUUUUGCAAGCUUGACUGGUGUCAUGUACCACCUAUAAAUCAUUUUCAUUCAGUUUUCUCUUAGGGCAUUACAUGCCGUAAAUUUCAUACCUGUGGUCCAUAACUGUUCCCAGUCAGCCAUCAUUAUGUUAUGUCCAACAUCUUGUGCCCAUUUAAUCAUUGCUGAUUUCACCGUUUCAUCCUGAGUAUUCCAUUUCAACAGCAAGUUACACAUUUUUGACAAAUUCUUAAUUUUGGAGUCUAACAAUUCUGUUUCCAAUUUUGAUUUUUCCACCUGGAAACCAACUUUUUUGUCCAAAUUGUAUGCCUCCAUUAUUUGAUAAUAAUGGAGCCAAUCUCGCACUUUAUUUUUCAAUUUUUCAAAGCUCUGCAAUUUUAUUCUGUCUCCACCUUGAUCCAGAAUUUCCCAAUAUUUCGGCCAUUUGGCCUCCAUAUUGAGUUUUUUCUGUGCCUUCGCUUCCAUUGGAGACAACCAUCUUGGGGUUCUCUUUUCUAACAAAUCUUUAUAUCUUAUCCAAACAUUGAACAGUGCUUUUCUAACAAUAUGAUUUUUGAACGCUUUAUGUGCUUUUACCUUAUCGUACCACAAAUAUGCAUGCCAACCAAAUACGUUAUUGAAACCUUCUAAAUCCAACACGUCAGUGUUUUCAAGAAGCAGCCAUUCUCUCAGCCAGCAAAAAGCUGCUGAUUCAUAAUAAAGUUUGAGGUCUGGCAGGGCAAAUCCACCUUUUUCUUUAGGAUCAGUUAAUAUCUUAAAUUUUAUUCGAGGCUUCUUGCCCUGCCAAACAAAUCUGGAAAUAUCUUUCUGCCACUUCUUGAAACAAUCCAUCUUGUCCAAAAUUUGUAGUGUUUGAAACAGAAACAACAUCCUUGGCAGCACAUUCAUUUUUAUCACAGCAAUUCGGCCUAACAAUGAUAACUUCAAAUUUGACCAUAUUUCUAAAUCCUUUUUCACUUCUAUCCAACAUUUUUCAUAAUUAUCCUUAAAUAGAUUCACAUUUUUGGCAGUCAUGUUAACCCCUAAAUAUUUAAGAACAACUGGGUUUAAACCAAAUGUUGGAAGAUCAAUAACGGUAUAGCAGUACAAGUCUCCAUGGGGAGUGAUUUGGCUCCUAGAAGCUGUCAACAUGUUACAGCAGCUACACCCCAGGAAACAGCUUCAAUUGGCCAACUAAACCAGGUGAUGGUUCUCAAAUCCUCAAUCUGCCACAGACUUCCCCUCCAUGCGAAGGCAGGCUCUGGCAGAUUGAGGAGUUGAGAUCAAUAGUGGGUCCAUUGUUCAGAAGGUGGUUUCUGCACGUGCUGUAGAUGAAAAUGAGCGGCAGAUGGAGCUUGCCAGUCUGGGAAGCUAGCCCUUCUAGGAGAAGGAAAACUCUGAUCCUAAACCUCCUCUGCCUUGUGGCUAUAUUCAUUUGUGAGAAAGGCUUCAGGAGUAAACUCCUGCAACUUCUGCAGCCAAGCUGGCAUCAAAUGUUUUGACCUUCUUUCCUUUGGACCACAUUAGCUGGCCGAGAGGGGGGGGGGUCUUGUCAUCUGGGCAGCCCAUGACCUUCUUACACUGCCCAGGCUUGCACCCUGGAGAGGUCACUUAAGUGUUGCUAAAGCACCAAAAACAAUGCGGGAGGCAGCAAUUAUGAGUUACUGGUCUGUGCAGCCACAGCAGGUGCUGUGAUUCUGCAGUUGUUUGACUUCACCCCCACCCCACCCCCAGUGGCACGCUCCAUGAGCCUAAAUUUCGAGUGGGACCCAGCAGCUCACCACUCCAUUCACAGGGCUUAAGAGCCUGUAAAAGGAAAGGUGCCCCAACAGGCACCUAAGUCAUUGAGGGAUUUAGAAGUCAAAACUAAUACCUUAAGUUGGACAGUGUAGUUGGAUAGGCAGGUAAUGUAGCUUCCAUAGAAUUGGUGUUACAAGGCAGCAUGUUAGCACUCUACCAGCAGCAUUUUGCACUAGCUGCAUUUUCCAGACUAUAUUCAAGGGAAAUGCUGCAAAGACUGCAUUGCAGCAGUCAAGUUACGAGCUUACUGAGACAUGUGAUGCAAAAGCAAACCAGGUGCCCCUCCCCAUGGGAAAAAGAAGAUAAAAACAGGGACCUUUGGGACACAGUAGAGGCAUCUGAGAUAAUCUCAGAGGUUGAAAUGGUGCCAGGCAGCUGAGGAACAUUACUUUCCUCAUUCUUCUUUUAGUUUCCAUAGUGCAAAGUAAGUGUAAUAGCUCAGUUUUCUGGGCAUAUGUGUUAGGGGUUUACAGUAGGAACCUACCAUUUCCCAUUGUGGGAGUUUAUGUCAGUUAGCAGAGAGAAAGAGUGUAACUUCCUCACACUCCCAUUUUUCCCCACUGUCAGCAGACCCGCCUCUCUGACCCAACAUCUCUAGACAAUGGUGGGCCCUCUGCUGGAUCUCGGUAGGUGACCCAAUCAUGGAACCAUAUUACUCAAGGUCUGAUGUAAUCUUAAUUGAAUCUUUGCAAUUAUUUAUCAGUAUUAUAAUAUAAAACGUUCUCUCUAUUGUGUGGUAUUGACGUAUGAAUUGGCUGUUCUUAUGCCAUACAUAGAUUUUUAUUCUGUAUAUGUGGUUUAUUCAAACUGAGUUCUCUGAAAAGAACACUAGCACACAGCAGAUUGUUUAACAUAAUAAACCACUAUAAUGAUGGCAUUUUACAAGCUUAUAUAGCCAGUGUAAACUUGCAGCUAACUUAGCAUUGAGAUAAGUACAUCAUGCCCUGAAUUGUUGUUAAGAGAGGCUGUUGUCCGCAUGUGUGCACAGUUAAAUAAGCUAUGUAAUGUAUUGUCUCAACCCUGAGAUUUUGCACCCAAGGAAGCUUAUAUUUUAUUGUUGAAGAAAAAAGUAUAGCAAAUUAUUGUAUGUAUAAAAUAAUAGAAAUUAUUGAAACUGCUUAGCUGCUAAGGUUAUCCCAGCACACUAUUUCACAUCACUAGACUUGAUAAAUUUUAAUCAACACCUUUGGGAACGUGUUUUCAGUAUCUAAAUGUUUUCUUAUUUCUUUUGGAUAUAUAUGUAGUGCAUCUGAAAUUUGGAUCAAUAAACUUCAUUCUUGUAUUACCCUGUUGUUGUUGUUGUUGUUGUUUUUGCUUCUGCUUCCAGUUCCUUUUUGGAGUAACAAUUUGUUUGUUGCAUGUUGUGAAGAGGUAACAGCUUAAUUCUAAAGCCUCAUUUCAAGAUGACAGUGAUAAUUUAUUAAACUUGUUAGUUGUUUGUUAUACAAAAGGUCUCCAAGUGACUACAACAUAUUUCAAGUGUGAGUAAAAAUGCAUCACAUUAAUACAUUUACACAAAAAUACAUUUACUGGAUGGGCAAGAGCAUCAUACCUGGUAGCAUUGCAUGUGCUCAGUAUCACUUUAUUCUGGUUUUUCAAUAUAUGUAUAUUUUUCGCACACCAGCCAACUAUCUGCUUUUAAUAUUGAAGUUUGCCUUGCUAACAGUGUACACAUGGGCAUAGAGAUCCAGUAGAAGUAAGAUAUCAAAUAUAUUCUUUCCUAUUAAGCAUCACCAGGCCUUAGAGCAGCAGAAUUAGGUGAUCAGUUUCUUUAAAAGUGUAAGUGAAAGGGAUAUUCUUGCUUUUGGGGAAAAAAUUCCCUGGUGUUUGUUAAAAUUAAUCCUGCCUUCUAUUAAUAUAGAUUGUGUAAAAUGGAUGCUGCUACAUAAAUGCAAUUUGUUUCUGUAAAGCUGAUCUACCUUUACAGCAAAUGUAAUUGGUUUGAGAUAAAUUGCUGAUUUUUAAUUUUGUGGAUAAUGUGAAACCUGUUGUUAACAUAAAUAACUUUUUGGAGAGCAAUAUGUAAUCCUAAUGACUUGGUGAGCACCUGUCCCUUGAGUAGUUACUCCGUAACAAAUUCCCCAAAUUUUGCUUGCGUUCUGAGAUUAGAUUUUUUUUUUGUAUUUCACAUUAUACCCCACAUUCGUUCUCAGUUCUUUUUAGCAUGUAGCGCUGUUCAAACCGAAGGCUGCAUUCACGUGAUCAGCUCAAUUUAAGACCAUCUUGCUUGCAUGUUAUCAGUUAGCAGGCAUACAAGUGCCAUAGCUUGUAACAGUGCAGCUAAAAACCAACACCUACUCAUUAAAGGACACAGCUGUCAUGGGCUGUGGUUUUUGGCCCUCAAUUUCUUAAUGGUUAAAAACAAAGCAGAGGAGAUAUUUAAGGAAGAGACUGUCUCCAGCAACACUUGGUGGACAUGAGAAUUCUGAAGGCUCACAGAGGUCCAUCACCUGCACGGACUUACCCAUUUGCUUUAGGAAAGAAAUUUAUGUGAAUGGGAACUCCAUGUAACUAUUGGAACUUGCACAACACUCAGAACUGAGGACACUCCAAUACAGAAUAUUAUUUUUUCUUUCUUUUCCCUAGGGAGAAGUCAAAAAGUAAACCUGAGGGUUUUCUUUAGAAGGAGAUGUACCUUAUAAAAAUGUGUGUAAAAUUACCUGUUCACAAUCAUUGUGAUAUAGUGAAUAUGUUGUCAGGUUUUGAGUUGAGGUACUCUAUACUGCUGUUUAGACUUGCUUUCCAUCCCCGGUGAAAUCCUGGAUGCUUGCUUGACCUCACAGUGUUUACUUACAAAAGGAUAUAGUAAGUUAAACUUUUUCUUUAUAGAUGACGCUUGCAAUGUAGUUAUUAACCUGAGCUUGGCAUGUGCCUAGCUAGUAUAACUGGGAAGACAACUGGCCUAAUAGGAUAACUAUUAAUGUAGCUACAACCCAGAACUUAAUGCCACAGCAAAGGUAGCACAUUAGUCC